AUAGAGGAGAUACCCUACGAGGACAUGACUCUUGUGGAUGAGUCAACAUUCAUCGUGAGCUUGAAAAGACUUUUCGAUCAUUGUAUAGAAUCAGGUUCCGUAUACAUUUCGUUCAAAAAAGUUCCAGUUGGAACUGUGAUCCAUCAACAAAAAACUCGACUGACUGAAAAUAUGUGCUUGAUACGUGCAACUGAUGGUGCAAGCGGGCGCAAAAAAAUAAAAUUCAGUACAUUGAUUCGACCAAAGGACAUCGCAAAAUUCAGGGCUGAUUUGGCAACCAUCUUAGAAUCGCAUACCGGCAAUUUGAAAAAACC